GGGUUGUGAGGUUAAGCGACUAAGCGUACACGGUGGAUGCCCUGGCAGUCAGAGGCGAUGAAGGACGUGCUAAUCUGCGAAAAGCGUCGGUAAGGUGAUAUGAACCGUUAUAACCGGCGAUGUCCGAAUGGGGAAACCCAGUGCAAUUCGUUGCACUAUCGUUAACUGAAUACAUAGGUUAACGAGGCGAACCGGGGGAACUGAAACAUCUAAGUACCCCGAGGAAAAGAAAUCAACCGAGAUUCCCCCAGUAGCGGCGAGCGAACGGGGAGCAGCCCAGAGUCUGAAUCAGCUUGUGUGUUAGUGGAACGGUCUGGAAAGUCCGACGGUACAGGGUGAUAGUCCCGUACACCAAAAUGCACAGGUUGUGAACUCGAAGAGUAGGGCGGGACACGUGGUAUCCUGUCUGAAUAUGGGGGGACCAUCCUCCAAGGCUAAAUACUCCUGACUGACCGAUAGUGAACCAGUACCGUGAGGGAAAGGCGAAAAGAACCCCGGCGAGGGGAGUGAAAAAGAACCUGAAACCGUGUACGUACAAGCAGUGGGAGCACCUUCGGGUGUGACUGCGUACCUUUUGUAUAAUGGGUCAGCGACUUAUAUUCUGUAGCAAGGUUAACCGUAUAGGGGAGCCGCAGGGAAACCGAGUCUUAACUGGGCGUUAAGUUGCAGGGUAUAGACCCGAAACCCGGUGAUCUAGCCAUGGGCAGGUUGAAGGUUGGGUAACACUAACUGGAGGACCGAACCGACUAAUGUUGAAAAAUUAGCGGAUGACUUGUGGCUGGGGGUGAAAGGCCAAUCAAACCGGGAGAUAGCUGGUUCUCCCCGAAAGCUAUUUAGGUAGCGCCUCGUGAACUCAUCUUCGGGGGUAGAGCACUGUUUCGGCUAGGGGGUCAUCCCGACUUACCAACCCGAUGCAAACUACGAAUACCGAAGAAUGUUAUCACGGGAGACACACGGCGGGUGCUAACGUCCGUCGUGAAGAGGGAAACAACCCAGACCGCCAGCUAAGGUCCCAAAGUCAUGGUUAAGUGGGAAACGAUGUGGGAAGGCACAGACAGCCAGGAUGUUGGCUUAGAAGCAGCCAUCAU
rnacentral:rRNA from 1 species